CCCUUAGAUGUUCUGGGUCGCACACGCGCUACACUGAAGGAGGCAGCGUGUACUCCUGGAUCGAAAGAUUUGGGUAACCCGCGAAUCUCCUUCGUGCUAGGGAUUGAGGUUUGCAAUUAUCCUUCAUGAACGAGGAAUUCCCAGUAAGUGCAAGUCAUAAGCUUGCGCUGACUACGUCCCUGCCCUUUGUACACACCGCCCGUCGCUACUACCGAUUGAAUGAUUUAGUGAGGACUUCGGACUGGGACCGAUGCGGCUUUCGGGCUGCGUCGGUAUUCUGGAAAGAUGUCCAAACUGUAUCAUUUAGAGGAAGUAAAAGUCGUAACA
rnacentral:rRNA from 1 species